rnacentral:rRNA from 1 species
GAACGCUGGCGGCGUGCUUAACACAUGCAAGUCGAGCGGAAAGGCCCUUCGGGGUACUCGAGCGGCGAACGGGUGAGUAACACGUGAGUAACCUGCCCUAGGCUUUGGGAUAACCCUCGGAAACGGGGGCUAAUACCGGAUAUGACUACCGGCCGCAUGGUUGGUGGUGGAAAGUUUUUCGGCCUGGGAUGGGCUCGCGGCCUAUCAGCUUGUUGGUGGGGUGAUGGCCUACCAAGGCGACGACGGGUAGCCGGCCUGAGAGGGCGACCGGCCACACUGGGACUGAGACACGGCCCAGACUCCUACGGGAGGCAGCAGUGGGGAAUAUUGCACAAUGGGCGGAAGCCUGAUGCAGCGACGCCGCGUGAGGGAUGACGGCCUUCGGGUUGUAAACCUCUUUCAGCAGGGACGAAGCGUAAGUGACGGUACCUGCAGAAGAAGCGCCGGCCAACUACGUGCCAGCAGCCGCGGUAAGACGUAGGGCGCGAGCGUUGUCCGGAUUUAUUGGGCGUAAAGAGCUCGUAGGCGGC